ACCAGUGUGGUGUAGUGGUUUGAGCAUUGGACUAUGACUCUGGAGACCAGGUUCAAAUCUUGGCUCUGUCA
rnacentral:tRNA from 1 species